rnacentral:rRNA from 1 species
AUCUAAGCGGGAAGCCUCCCCUGAGAUAAGAUUUCUCUUGAUCCUUGAGAUCACUGAAGGGCCGUUGAAGACCACAACGUUGAUAGGCUGGGUGUGGAAGCACAGCAAUGUGUGAAGCUAACCAGUACUAAUUGCCCGUGAGGCUUGACCAUAUAACACCCAAG